CAAAAAGUGUACAUAAAAAUCAAAUACAGUCACUAGAAAACCAUGAUCAUAAAAGCUGCAGCACUGCUAUAAAAAAAUAAAAAAAAAUAAAACAAUAACAAAAACAUACACUCAGGUGCACACUGCCAACCAGAUACAAACAAACACAUAGAUACACACAAUGAUACAUCCACAGAUACAGACAGACACACACACUCAGGUACACAUACAUACUGACACACUUUUUUAACCACCCUCCUGGUUCUUACCUGCAGGAGGGUGGACUCUGCUGGCUGGGGAUGAUGUUGGUGUGAGUCUGACUCUGUCCUCCUCUUCACACUCGCCAGUGCUUCCUCCCACCCUCAUGGUUCUUACCUUUAGGAUGCAGGAGGGUGGACUCUGCUGGCUGGGG